CUAAAAUUUCCAUUGGACUCUGGUUUCCCUUCAAAACGUAUAUAUAAUUUCCAUUGGCAACACUGACAUAACCUUUAUUUUUAUAAAAUACAAAUUGUUAAUUCAAAAAAUCGCGAAUCGUAGUAAUUAGUUCGUAAUCUGUGCGCGAAUCGGUGAAUCGAGGUUCAAGACACAUUCAAAGAGUAGUAUAAUAAUACGGGUAGCACUAUAAUAAUACUGCACCAGUUCCAUUCAGAUUUCAAAUUUAUUAUAAUAAUUUAUAUAUUGUAAUUUAUAUGUGCUGUUUGUUUACAUAAUUAGUAUAGAUAUUAGAAUUAUAAUUAUACCUGUUAAAUUCCCAAAUUUGUAAUAGAAUACUUCCACUUUCUACUUCACUACUACUUCCUUUCAUCAUGGCUAUGAAUAAAUACAUACACUCGCGAAACAUUUAUAAAAACCCUCCAAAUUUUAAGAAAUUAGCUGAUAACUAUCCGGAAUUUGCAAGCAUUUCACAAAUGGAUGUUACAGGAAAAAUAAGUAUAGACUUUAAGGAUCCCCAUGCUUUGAGAGUACUAACGGCUUGUUUACUUAAAUCUGAUUUUAAUCUUGAUAUUGUGAUUCCAAAGGACCGUUUGGUACCAACUCUUCCUUUAAGAUUAAAUUAUGUAUUGUGGAUUGAAGAUCUGCUGACUGCUAUUGAACGACAUGAAUCUAUACAGGGUAUUGAUAUAGGUACUGGGGCAUGUGCUAUAUAUCCCUUCUUGGCUGCAAAAAAAAAUAAUUGGCAUAUGAUUGGAACUGAAACAGAUGAUGAUAGCCUUAAAAUUGCCAAUGAAAACAUAGAAAGGAAUAACCUGCAAAAUUUAAUAAAAUGUAAGUAUAUAACAAAAUUGCAUUUGUCUCAUUUGAGUAAAAAUUAUUUAACCCUGUGUAUUGUAUUAUAUUAUGAACUCUUAUAUACUUGUAAGUGUAUGACAUAAUUAUAUAAAAAAAAUAUUACAACUUAAUAUUUGCAAGCUAUAUUUAUACAAAACCAAAAUAAACAAUAAUAAUAAAUAAUAAGCCCGCAGGACACCUUGUGGCGAGGUGUCGGGGAGUAGCGACCCCGCAGACCCGAAUGCUCCCGGGGGAGGCCCCUGUCCUCAUCUCCGGCUUGCCUUAACCGGCCGGCCGGAGUGAAGCCUGACGGGGACAGGACCCCCACCUCUGGCUUGUCUUAGCCGGCCAUAGAUGGAGUUGUGAGAGCUUUUAACUCAAAGGGUGGAUGCGAAGCGUAAGUGGCGAGUGGGCACGUGAUGCUGGACCCUCAGGGAGCGUGAUCGUCGUUUAAUGUCCAGCGACGCCUCUCCACCCUUAGCUGCUCACGACAUGUUGCCUUCCUGUUGCUAUUUUACUACAACUUUUUAGAGGGCCUAUUUGUGAGAGGGCGAGUCACCUUCUGCCAAUAUAUUUUUACUGACUCAAAUGUAGUAACAAGACGACAACAUAGUUCCCAUAGACCCAGUAACCAAUCCAUUUAACACCUCCAUACUAAAAUCCAGUUUAAUUUCUUUUCAUUUUUGCAAUAGUCCUACAUCGGCCGCCUAUAUGGCGCAGUCAUGGGCAGGCUGCGACUGGUGUCCCACAACACAUUAAAUUCUCAAAGGGCCUCUGCGUGUUGGACCUGUGUCCCCACGUAAGCCUUCCAAAAGACCAGGUAUUAUCCUUCUG